AAAUUGAAAAUUCACUCCGCGGAGAGAGAGAGAGAGAGAGAUUGUAUGGUUGUUCAGCUGGAGAAAGGGCCUUCGGGAUUUUGCAUAGCUCAGGAAGGAAUUCAAUGGACUUGUCCCACUGCCAUUGUAACAGGUCUCUUCUAAUCCUUCAUUCUUUCAGCUCUAACUCAAAACCAGUCAGUCAGCUGAUGUUGAUUUUGCAUAGCUUUCAAUGUUAAUUAAGCUUUGUCAAGUAUUUGUUUACCACUGUACGGAGCUGUUGGAAACAAUCCUUCGGUAGGCCUACCCUUCGCACUCGCUCUCAAUUACGGCUCUAUGCUCGCGCUCUUGCAAAUUUUUAUAGUUUGGAAAGUUUUUAGGAAUACUCUUUCAGUGCAGGCUGGCUAAAGGAGAUGGAAGGAAGCUCGAUGUUUGUGAGGCAAUCUAGGAAAGUCGGUCAUAGAGAUUCACUUUUGAGAGGCAUAGUCUUUGGAGGAGUGUGAUUGAGGAAAAUAUGGUAUGAUCAUGUCCGUUUAGUGGAGGACCUGGUGGAGUUGUAUAUGUGGUAGUUCUUUGGAAGAGUAUUAUGAGUAUCUGGUAGGAUUUCUUCCAUCUUCAGGGUGUGAAAAGUGCAAGCUCCAAAAAGUCGAGUUCUUUUGUGUUGGUACUUCCAUUAACAAAACAAAUUUCUCUAUAUCCAGUUUAUCGAGUUGUAUUUUAUUUUACUUAUCUUUUUAGAGAGUCUGUUUGGGGAUUAUGUGGAAAGGGUUGCAUGAUUUUACUUUUGGCAUGACUUACAUUUCAGUCAAUAAGGAAGCUCAUGUGGUAGAGAUCUUGGGCUGCUCAGUUGAGGAGGCCCUUCCAUAAUUGGGAGUUGGAAUUUGUAGCGACGGGGGACUUCCUUGAAAUGCUCCAAUGUUGCCAGAUUCAAGGAGAGUGAGCGCACCUCUUGUCUUGGAGACUUGCGAGGAGUGGUCUGGACUCGGUGCAGUCGUUGCAUUCUAAGUUACACUAAGCUUUUGAUUGUGAGGAGUCCAUUUUGACCCUGGAUAUAUAGCUUCGACCAAGAUGGUACUUUUUAGUAGAUUGGUGUUGUGUAUAUGCUAGAAGGGGAGGACACUAACCACCCUUUACUGCAUUGUUCAGUGGCGAAUGAGGUGGGGAAUCUUGUUAUUUCCUCUUUAGUGUAUUUGGGUUGAUGCCUUGUAUAGAGUGAAGCAACAUGUCACUACUGGGCUAGAGGGUUUCUAUGAGCAGAUUUAGCGAUUCUGUAUUUUGGGUUUUCUAGGAACGAGGGAAUAGGAGAUUUUUUGAGAAUGACGACAAUUCUUAUUGUGCCCGGAAAACAGAUUGCUAAUUUGUCCAAAGACUUCUUUCCUUUUGACUCUUGAUUCUUGUGUUGAUCCUUUGAAGCAAAAGCUUAUUAAAAAGCUCGAAACUGGGCUCCGCGAAGUCUCCUCCUUUGCAAUCCUUCUUGGCUAUAUAUCUCCAAUUUUACAUUUUAGGUUUCUGGUUCCUAACUUGAUGGAUAGAUGAUAUUACUGUUGAUUUUGCUCCUAAUUUUAUUGAGGAACGAUUGUUGAGCUUCUAUUUUCUCGUGCAUAUGUCUGAGAUGCCCCUUUUUGUGCAGAUUAUAACAUGAUUGCUGGAAGCAGAGAGGGAAAAAUGUGUUGGUUUAUAUCGAAUUUUAAAAUAUGUUUUCAAUUUUUCCUCCACCCCUGCACUCGUAGUCAGACAAGAUGUUAUUUUUAAAGUUUUACCAUGCUUUGUUAGAUCAUGGAUAGUUAUGUUCAAAUACCUCUUCCGUUUUCUAGAAAUGAGUAGCUUCCAUAAAAGUAUGCUGAAAUUGGUGUGUUUGGGUGAAUUCCAUCCAUAGUAGAUAUGCACUAACAAGAACAUAGAUGAGCAAAAACUUUCAUCCUUCUGUUGUGAUUAUGAGGGUAGCAAACUGAUAUGAUUAUGAUUUAUGAGUCUACGACUAAGAGGAGCAAAAACGCAUGUACAUACGCGAAAAGGUGCGUUGUAGAAAAGUUGGUGCUCUAGAUUGAACUUCAUGACCGACCGUCUUUAAUGUGCUUGUUUUUCUUUUCUGUCCCUAUCUUAUUUCGAAAUUCGGUGUAGUUGCUCUGAUAUGGUCUGUAUAUAUUUCAGGUGCCAACCAAAAGAUACGAUGAGUACUAGUGUGGCCUUUCAUCGUUCUUAUCCUCUAUCUACAUCGUGCUCUGAUGGGUGUGGAUCUCAGAAUUAGGAAAGGAAAAAAAAAAAGCGCAUUGCAAUAUUAGUCAUGGCUAAGCACAGAUUUUGUUUUGAAAAUAUCCCAUCCACUCCAGAGAGUGCCAACAACACAUCAUGAAAGAAUGUGAACUGCUGCAAUGGAUGGUAUUUUCUUCCGUAGUUUCCACAUGACAGACACCCCAACAGUAGUUACAACUGUAGCUGGCCCAGUGAAUUGAAUUCUCCCGAUCGGCUCUUCGAUUGCUACUAGUCCGGUUUUUUGCAAAUCGUGAUGGGAGAAUAGCAGCAGAUUACUAUGCGAUAGUUAUAUGUGUACCCAAAAAGCUGCUUUAUAAGUCUAUUCAACAACUGAGAGCGGUUACCCAGGCCAGCAUAGAGCUUAAGUGGCAGAGUUAUCCAAAUUUGGUUGACCGGCCAAACUGCGAAGCUCGUCUUGGUGGAUAAGGUACUUUGUGCGGACCAGCUUAGAAGAGAAUGAACCUGCAACAAAGAAGUUUGAGCAAGCUGCAACCAAGAGAUCUUACGAGCCUGCCUGCCAAGUUUUCCAGCUCAAUUCGUGCCAUUGAAAUCUCUUGAUCAUAUCUUCUUGGCAAAAAAAUUGUGCCGAGAAAUGUCUUCAGUUCACGAGAAAUAUAUUACAUAUGGUGGUUAUCAUGUUAAGUUUUUUUUUUUUUUGAUGUUUAAUUUAUGCAACGCUAGAUAUUUAAUAGUGUUUCGGGUUCUUACAUCCCAAUGCUGGAGCUUGUUGUAGGCCAAAUGCUGAUUCUGUUUAGCAUAUUCUAACUCAAACUGCUAGUUCAAACUGCUAGUUUGAUUAGUAUAUAGGAGGAGGACUUUUUUUGCAUUUUUCUUUUAUUCAAAAUUUGGCAAAUUGUGGAGAGGAAGCCUUGUGUUUGUCACAUAUUGCUUUUGUCUUUCAAGCAGUUUAUCUUCUUCUGAGUCA